AGGCUCCACUGGCAGGUCUCAAGGGGGCUGCAUGAUGACCCACAAAUUUGACCAAGGUAUGUGAGGUUAAGCAGAGACCAGAUGAGUCACCUGUAGCCUUUCUAGAGUGGCUCAUGGAGGCAGUUUGCCAAUGACACCCUAUGGCUCCAGCAGCAAAGAACAUAAAGCUACUGUGGCAAUGGAUUUUAUAGACCAGGCUAGGAGAGAUAUCAGGAAAAAUAUUCAGAGGCUAGAAAGACAGGAUAAGCUGUUGAGAGAUUUAGUGCAGGUUGCUGAGAAAUUCUACCAUUAUAGGAAACAGAGAAAGAAAAGGAGCAGAGAAAGAGAAAGAAAGAAAAGCGACAGGGAAGCAAUCUACAGAGAGCCCGUGCUACAGUAGUUAGGGAAAGCAGAGAAGAGAGACUCCAACCACAGAGAGACAAAAAACCCUUGAAAAGGACCGGUGCGCAUACUGCAAGGAGAGAGGCCACUGGCUUGAGAGUGCCUUAACAAAUGGAAGCCAGGAGCAGGAAGUCCCAGGCCUUGGGGAAAGCGCAUCCCAAAAGGCUAAGGUCUUAGCCCUGGGUGAAGACAGUGAUUAGGAGAGACAGGGUUUAGAACCCCUCCCUGAACCCAGGGUAACUCUGCGAGUGGAGGGAAAAUCCACUCCAUUCUUGGUGGACACAGGGGCUCAACACUUGGACCUCCAAGCUGAUGGCCCGAUUCCAAGAAGAGAUCUUGGGUCCAAGAAGCCACUGGCACCAAAAUAUAUUCAUGGACUACCCGAAGAACAGUGGACCUAGAAUGGGCCGGGUAUCCCAUUCAUUUAGGGCAGCCCCAGAAUGUCCCUACACUCUGUUGGGGAGAGACACACUCUCCAAAAUGGGGGCCAAGAUACACUUCCUGCUGGCCCAAAAGGAGAGACCUCUCAGACUGACCCCUGCUGUAAGCCAAGGCUACCUGGUUUAUAGACAGGAGCAGUUUGUUCUAUGAGGGUCAGAGACAAGCAGGUGCUGCUGUGGUGAACUGUACAAAUGUCAUCUGGGCAGAACCUCUACCCCCUGGCAGAAAGUGGAGCUAAUUGUCCUCACUAAGGCCAUGGAACUUAGAGCCAGCAAGAAAAUCAACAUCCACGCGCAUAGCAGAUAUGCCCUUGCCACAGCCCACAUCCACAGGGCUAUAUGCCAAGAGAGAGAACUGCUCACAUCAGAGGGGAAAGAAACAAGCAGGAAAUCUUGGAUCUGAUGAAGCCAAGCAACUGUGACUAUUAUUCAUUGCCCAAGAUGUCAGAAGGGAAGAAACUCAGUGUCCCGGGGCAAUAACCAGGCAGAUCAAGUGACUGGGAACCUAUCCUGUUUAUGGGCCUGCAAGAAACACCUGUUGAGAAGUGGUACUGGACUAAGAGAUGGCUUCACUUAAAAUAUAUAGAAGAAGAAAGAAAGGACUCAGAUUGCUAGCCACUCUACCAACUAUUACCAAGAGAAGAUUAGUAGCUGCACCUGAUGCCAACUGGAUAGCAGCCAGAUACCGGAGCAACCCCCUUCUGCAAGGCCAGAGAAACCACAAGAUGGCUAUGGUGUAUCUUCCAGUGCUGUGCCUCAGAAACUCCCACGACCCUACCAAAGUGACUUGGCAGGAAACCACAUAAAAACUCGCCAACAGGCCACCAGGGGUCGCUGCCUCACAUUCAGGUCUGGGAGACCCCAGUGCAUUGGAACAAUAAAUUCCUCUUGCUUUUUGCAUUGAUUCUGGUUCACUCACGGUAUCCCUGGUAAGCUAAAGCUCAACAGAGUCUUACAGUAAUAAUUGUUUGUUUAUGUAUAAAAACCCUUGAU